rnacentral:rRNA from 1 species
CCUACGGGGGGCUGCAGUGGGGAAUAUUGGACAAUGGGGGCAACCCUGAUCCAGCCAUGCCGCGUGUGUGAAGAAGGCCCUCGGGUUGUAAAGCACUUUCAGUGAGGAAGAACGCCUGGUGGUUAAUACCCAUCAGGAAAGACAUCACUCACAGAAGAAGCACCGGCUAACUCCGUGCCAGCAGCCGCGGUAAUACGGAGGGUGCGAGCGUUAAUCGGAAUUACUGGGCGUAAAGCGCGCGUAGGUGGCUUGAUAAGCCGGUUGUGAAAGCCCCGGGCUCAACCUGGGAACGGCAUCCGGAACUGUCAAGCUAGAGUGCAGGAGAGGAAGGUAGAAUUCCCAGUGUAGCGGUGAAAUGCGUAGAGAUCGGGAGGAAUACCAGUGGCGAAGGCGGCCUUCUGGACUGACACUGACACUGAGGUGCGAAAGCGUGGGUAGCAAACAGGAUUAGAUACCCGAGUAGUC